AGUUUGAUUGCUGGGUCAUAUGGUAAGUUUAACUUUAUAAGAAACUGCUAAAUUCUUAUAAAGUGGCUCUACCAUUUUGAAUUCCUACUAGCACU
rnacentral:pre_miRNA from 1 species